GGGGUUGUGGUUCAGUGGUAGAAUGCUUGCCUAGCAUGUGUGAGGCACUGGGUUCGAUUCUCAGCACCA
rnacentral:tRNA from 1 species